UACGUAGGGUGCAAGCGUUAAUCGGAAUUACUGGGCGUAAAGCGUGCGCAGGCGGUGAUGUAAGACAGAUGUGAAAUCCCCGGGCUUAACCUGGGAAUGGCAUUUGGGACUGCAAGGCUGGAGUGUGGCAGAGGAGACUGGAAUUCCCGGUGUAGCAGUGAAAUGCGUAGAUAUCGGGAGGAAUACCAGAGGCGAAGGCGGCUACCUGGACAAUUGCUGACGCUCAGGCACGAAAGCGUGGGGAGCAAAAGGG
rnacentral:rRNA from 1 species